UACGUAGGGUGCAGGCGUUAAUCGGAAUUACUGGGCGUAAAGCGUGCGCAGGCGGUUAUGUAAGACAGAUGUGAAAUCCCCGGGCUCAACCUGGGAACUGCAUUUGUGACUGCAUAGCUAGAGUACGGUAGAGGGGGAUGGAAUUCCGCGUGUAGCAGUGAAAUGCGUAGAUAUGCGGAGGAACACCGAUGGCGAAGGCAAUCCCCUGGACCUGUACUGACGCUCAUGCACGAAAGCGUGGGGAGCAAACAGG
rnacentral:rRNA from 1 species